rnacentral:tRNA from 1 species
GGCCCAGUGGUCUAGUGGUAUGAUUUUCCCUUCGGGCCCACUUUUACGCCCUCUUCGGUUAACUGAAGAAAUUGGGAGAGGCCCCGGGUUCGAAUCCCGGCUGGGCCC